GGUGAGAUGGCUCAGUGGUUAAGAGCACUGGACUCCUCUUCCAGAGGUCCUGAGUUCAAAUCCCAGCAACCA
rnacentral:tRNA from 1 species